CUUCAAGAAGGGAGUUUUUCCUUCCCACUGUUGCUGAGUGUUUGCUCAUAGUGGGUUGUAAAAGCAUAAAAGUUAAUAAGAGGCAUUCAUAGCAGAGUUAUCACAGCGGGAACUAUAUAGCUUAAAUGUACAAUUUCUACAGGACGAAUUAUAACUUCAUUAUGUAUAAAAGCUCCUGUGGAUAAUUACUCCUAUUUGUAACUUUACACAAGAGAAAGUUUGCUGUCACACUAUUUAUAACAGGUUGGAUUUUGUCCUCUGAGUUGAGCCUUUGGUUGCAGUUUAUUGAAGAAUUUCCUCUAAAGUAGCUGUUGAUAAAGAUUUAAAGUCCUGUUUAUAUACAGAAAUAUGCUUUAGUUCAUGUUUUUUUACAUGUCUGCCUCAGUGGAUCAGUAGAAGAUCUGGCACAGGAAACUAGAUGAUGAAAAAAGGGGCGGAACUCAUGGUGGGUUCACGCCCUCGGCCCACGCCCCUCUGAAGAGGAAACACCUGGGCCUCAUCAGUGCAGCCAGCAUUUAAGCCAGGGAGUGGCUUCUACUCAUCGCUGGAUCGUUGUGUGUGACUCGCAUCCCCUGGACCCGACUCUGCAUUCCCCGAGCGGAUUCCCUUUUUGUGUGAGUGUUUGGAGAGAGAGUCAGAAGAGGAGCAAGUGUCUUUCCCCUACCUGGAUUUCCC